AAGUGUUUCCCUUGAGAGA
rnacentral:snRNA from 1 species